GGGGAAUAUUGCACAAUGGAGGGAACUCUGAUGCAGCGACGCCGCGUGAGUGAAGAAGAUCUUCGGAUCGUAAAACUCUGUCCUUGGUGACGAAAAAAAUGACGGUAGCCAAGGAGGAAGCCCCGGCUAACUACGUGCCAGCAGCCGCGGUAAUACGUAGGGGGCGAGCGUUGUCCGGAUUUACUGGGCGUAAAGGGUGAGUAGGCGGUUAUAUAUGUCAGGUGUAAAAAGCUAUGGCUUAACCAUAGUAAGCACUUGAAACUGUAUGACUUGAGUGCAGGAGAGGUAAGCGGAAUUCCUAGUGUAGCGGUGAAAUGCGUAGAUAUUAGGAGGAACACCGGUGGCGAAGGCGGCUUACUGGACUGUAACUGACGCUGAGUCACGAAAGCGUGGGUAGCAAAC
rnacentral:rRNA from 1 species